GCCUUCUUUGACUGAAAAACACAAAGAGAGCUGGAGUUAUGGGUGAGUUCCUUCAGGCCCAGGACGGCUCGGGCUUGGAGAGACACGCCCCGCCCCGCCCCUGCAGGGGGGCUGGACUGGCCCUACAGUGGGAGCCCUGACUGAGGUUCAGAAGACACGCUCUAGCUCCUUCUCUGGAUCCAGCUCCACCAUCAGCAAGUCACCUUUAAUCUCUGAGUCUCCGUUUGCACAUCUGUAAGGUGAAGUGAUGCUUCUAAAGAAGACACACAGUCAGAAGGGCUAAGCCAGACUGGAGCCCAGGCAGGCACAUCCUGUCAUCUAGAGCCAGUCCAAAGAACACCAAAUAAAAAAGCAGUUUCGGGACACCUGCAGAAUCCAAACCAGACAGCACAAAGCAUUAAGAAAUCACCGCUGGAGACCACACCAAAGUGAGCACAGGCUGCUCUCAGACGGCUGGAGGAAGAGCAGACGCAAGAGUCAGCCAUCUUGGCUGAGUGGUGUGACCACGGCAUUACUGGAAUGCUGUCCACACAAUACAUGGGUUUGUUUAUUUAGGCAAAACAAUGUAGUACCCCCCAUCCUUCUACCACCUGAACAAAAUCCCAGCAAUUAAAAUACUAGAUGGAAGUGACAGCUCGUCUGCAACUUGGGAAAAUGGUGGUGGUGGUCCGUAUUCUUCCGGCUCUCAGCAUUGGAAGCACACACAGUGUGUGUAGAAUUCUCAUUGGUCCAUUUAGACAGAGAGUUCUAAAUAGGCUCUUUGCUGGUGCCUCUUAGGUGUUUAGUGCAUAUCCUAAAAGCUUAUCAAAUUAGAGCUGCAGCUUUAUUAAGCAGUGGACAAAAAGUAGUACUAUAUUGGGAAUGCAAAUGGUCACAUUUGAGUGCUAAUAUAAAAUAUUUUCUAUGUAA